rnacentral:rRNA from 1 species
AGGGUGUAAACGCUGCGGACUUGGUGUUGGGGGCCCUUUGGGGGCAUUCAGUGCCGGAGAGAAGUUGUUAAGUCUGCUACUUGGGGAGUACGUCCGCAAGGAUGAACUUAAAGGAAUUGGCGGGGGAGCACCGCAACGGGAGGAGCGUGCGGUUUAAUUGGAUUCAACACCGUAAAACUCACCAGGGAAGACUGUUACAUGAAGGCCGAGAUGAAGACUCUGCUAGAUUUUCAGAGAGGAGGUGCAUGGCGUCAGUGACU